rnacentral:rRNA from 1 species
UACGUAGGGUGCGAGCGUUGUCCGGAAUUAUUGGGCGUAAAGAGCUCGUAGGCGGUUUGUCGCGUCGGCCGUGAAAACUUGGGGCUUAACCCCAAGCCUGCGGUCGAUACGGGCAGACUUGAGUUCGGCAGGGGAGACUGGAAUUCCUGGUGUAGCGUUGAAAUGCGCAGAUAUCAGGAGGAACACCGGUGGCGAAGGCGGGUCUCUGGGCCGAUACUGACGCUGAGGAGCGAAAGCGUGGGGAGCGAACAGG